CGGCGUGGAUAUGGAAUAAAUACAUCACGGUGGGCCCCACUGCAAGGGACGCACCGUGUAGGAUGAAUCCGGGCAUCACCUAAUUCGCUCCCACUUCGAGGUCUCGAAAUAAAUCCCCACCCUUCGUCUCCCAACUUCAACUUUCAUCCAAAGGUCAGGAUCCUCCCCCGUGGUGAAAGCCUGAAGCCCUGGAAUCCCCACCUAAGAUCUGACGCGAGGUGGAGCAGUGUCUAUCCUCGAGAGCCCCCAUUCCCAAUGACAGAUCUCAGAAGAGAGAGAGAGAGAGAGAGGCAGAGAGGGAGGCGUUCAUCGAAGGCGACGGCGGCGACGGCAUCUACAAGAGCCUCCGGUUCCAGAUCUGAUUUGAAAGGUCCUUCUAAUGGCCAUCAUAGGAUAACCACAGUUUCCUUGCAAACAAGAGGUUGAAAUUUCUCAUUCCGCUCCUACUGUUGAUUUGAAUCCACCUUGAAACAAGACUUAGCUGGCAUGACUCAAUACUCCGAUGACAUCAACAUAGAUGGCCAGUCAUUGCUUUCCGAUAAGUUGUGACAUACACCAUCUUGAACAGAAGGUUUCUGAAAUUCUUGACACACAAAAGUUGCGAUAUUCACAAGCAUUUGUUUCGCCCCGUGUAUAUUCAUUGGGAUCUCAUAAUCCCCACCAGUGAACUUAUCUGGGUCUAGCACUGAAAAUCAGCAUCAGUGAGUCCUUUUUUUUUUUUUUUUUUAUUGUUUAGCCAAUUAAUGACUUGAUUCAUACUCGAAUCAGACAAUACAUGACAUCAUAUGCUGUUCAAAGUCUAAAUGACAGAUAUGUGCUACUUCAUAAAUUUCAGUAUGGGGGCUGCCUUUUUUUUACUGCCACUUCCUGU